rnacentral:rRNA from 1 species
UACGUAGGUGGCAAGCGUUGUCCGGAUUUAUUGGGUUUAAAGGGUGCGUAGGCGGUCUUCUAAGUCAGUUGUGAAAUACUUCAGCUUAACUGGGGAGGUGCAAUUGAUACUGGAAGACUUGAGUACUGAUGAGGUAGGCGGAAUGGACGGUGUAGCGGUGAAAUGCUUAGAUAUCGUCCAGAACACCGAUAGCGAAGGCAGCUUACUAAGGAGUAACUGACGCUGAGGCACGAAAGUGUGGGGAUCAAACAGG